CCUACGGUAGGCUGCAGUGAGGAAUAUUGGUCAAUGGGCGGGAGCCUGAACCAGCCAAGUCGCGUGAGGGAAGACGGUCCUAUGGAUUGUAAACCUCUUUAGGCGGGGAGCAAUGCCGGGCACGCGUGCCCGGAGGGAGAGUACCCGCAGAAUAAGCAUCGGCUAACUCCGUGCCAGCAGCCGCGGUAAUACGGGGGAUGCGAGCGUUAUCCGGAUUUAUGGGGGUAAAAGGGUGCGUAGGCGGAUUUUUAAGUCAGCGGUAAAAUGUCCGGGCUCAACCCGGGCCGGCCGUUGAAACUGGGGAUCUUGAGUGGGCGAGAAGUAUGCGGAAGGCGUGGUGUAGCGGUGAAAUGCAUAGAUAUCACGCAGAACUCCGAUUGCGAAGGCAGCAUACCGGCGCCCGACUGACGCUGAGGCACGAAAGCGUGGGGAUCGAACAGGAUUAGAUACCCUUGUAGUC
rnacentral:rRNA from 1 species